UAUCUCUGUAGAGUCUGCAUAUCAAUAAGCGGAGGAAAAGAAACUAACAAGGAUUCCCUUAGUAACGGCGAGUGAAGCGGGAAGAGCUCAAAUUUGAAAUCUUCAAGGUUCUACCUUGACGAAUUGUAGUUUAAAGAAGUGUUUUCUGUUAGAUGAGUAGCAAAAGUUCCUUGGAAUGGGACAUCAUAGAGGGUGAGAAUCCCGUAUUUGGUUAUUCAUUCUAGCUUUGUGAUACACUUUCAAAGAGUCGGAUUGUUUGGGAAUGCAGUCCAAAAUGGGUGGUAAAUUUCAUCUAAAGCUAAAUAUUGGCGAGAGACCGAUAGCGAACAAGUACCGUGAGGGAAAGAUGAAAAGAACUUUGAAAAGAGAGUUAAACAGUACGUGAAAUUGUCAAAAGGGAAGCGUUUGACACCAGUGUUGUUUUUCCGAAAAUCAAUUACGAAUGGCUUGAUUUUGUGUUGUAUUGACCUUAUCAGCUUUCUUCACUUUUUUCGAGUUUUUCUUAAUGCACUUUUCGGUUAACAAGUCAACAUCAAUUUCUUUUGUUGUAAAAGAGUAUUCGGAAGGUGGCUUUCUUUUCGGAGAAAGUGUUUAUAGCCCUAUACUUCUACAAUCGGAGAGAUUGAGGUCUGCAGCGUAGAUCCUUCGGGGUUAGAUACACUUGUGCUAAGUUGUAGCUUUUCAUAGACAACUUGUUGACUAUGUUUAGUCAUGCGGCUUACUCGCUUGUGCUAUUUUACCUACGCUUAGGAUGUUGACUGAUAUGUAGUCGUA
rnacentral:rRNA from 1 species